rnacentral:rRNA from 1 species
CUUACCCUACGGGGCGCAGCAGUGAGGAAUAUUGGUCAAUGGGCGCAAGCCUGAACCAGCCAAGUCGCGUGAGGGAUGACGGUCCUAUGGAUUGUAAACCUCUUUUGUCGGGGAGCAAGGCCCGCCACGUGUGGCGGGAAGGAGAGUACCCGAAGAAAAAGCAUCGGCUAACUCCGUGCCAGCAGCCGCGGGAAUACGGAGGAUGCGAGCGUUAUCCGGAUUUAUUGGGCUUUAAGGGUGCGUAGGCGGAAGGUUAAGUCA